CGCCGCUCCCGCCGGCGGCCCCGCGCUCCGGACGGGUGGGGGGGCGGCUCCUCGGGCCUUCCCUUCGCAUCUUGCCCUCUCGGAGCCUGGCGGUGCUCCUGAGAGUCAACACAGGGGGAUAGAGUACCUUUCCCUCACAGAAACCCAGAGCGGAGCCGUCCUCUCCGCGCUGCAUCCUGUCGUGAGGCACAAGCGGCCCACUCCCUCCCUUUCCCCUCGCCAGUCCCCGCGCUGCCCCGGACUGAUUUCUCUUUCUCUCUCCUUACCCAGUGUGUGGCGUGGGCCGCACGCCCGUCCAUGGCGGCCGCCCGGCGGGCAGGAAGGUGGCAGAAAGCGCCCCGAGGUACCGGCAUGGCCUUCCCGUGCCCCCCGGGGCCUUGUCCGCUGGCCUGCCGCGCCCAUCCUGGGUAGGACGCAAAGCGCGGCAGGUCCUGCCAGCGAGAAGCCAUGCGGCUAUGGAGGUUGCCUUUAAACGCCUAUAGGGGUCCCACAUAGCAACUUCAUCUUUGAAAUAUUCUAGACACAGCUGAUCGUACCUAAAUUGGAAGCAAUGCUCAGGACUUCCUAGGAAUAAAUAAUACCUUCUCCUAGAAGAUUGUUCAAGUAUGUUGGUGCUUUGUGAACCAAUGUGAUAACCGUCGAGUGGAAAGAGUUCCUUGUGAAUUGGUUUGUCUCCAGGGAGGAAACCAGCAUGUGCGAAGGAUCUGAACCAAUAAAUAUCAGCUUAUGACUUCAUGAGUGGCUGAUUUCCGACUUCACUUGUGACUGACCUGCAGUGUAUUGUUUUGAAAGUGGAAUUGAGACAAGCAAUGGCUAAAAUAACACAUCUUCAGUGAUCAUGUAUAGACAGGACAAUUGCCAUUUGUUGAAACAGAUUUCUUCAAAACUGCUGUAACUUAUUUCUUUCUGUGGAUUAAUUUAAAUAAAAUAUGAGAAUG